rnacentral:rRNA from 1 species
AGCGAACGCUGGCGGCAGGCCUAAUACAUGCAAGUCGAACGGACCCUUCGGGGUUAGUGGCGGACGGGUGAGUAACACGUGGGAACGUGCCCUUUGGUUCGGAAUAACUCAGGGAAACUUGAAUUAAUACCGAAUGUGCCCUUCGGGGAAGGAUUAUCGCCAUUGGAGCGGCCCGCGUCUGAUUAGCUAGUUGGUGGGGUAAAGG